rnacentral:rRNA from 1 species
UACGUAGGGGGCUAGCGUUGUCCGGAAUCAUUGGGCGUAAAGAGCGUGUAGGCGGUCCGGUAAGUCCGCUGUGAAAGUCGGGGGCUCAACCCUCGAAUGCCGGUGGAUACUGUCGGGCUAGAGUGCGGAAGAGGCGAGUGGAAUUCCUGGUGUAGCGGUGAAAUUCGCAGAUAUCAGGAGGAACACCUAUUGCGAAGGCAGCUCGCUGGGACGUAACUGACGCUGAGACGCGAAAGCGUGGGGAGCGAACAGG